UGUGUGUGUGUGUGUGUGUGUGUGUGUGUGUGUGAGAGAAGGGGAGUCUUUGUUCACAGAGGUGUGACAUGUCAGUUGGCUGUUCAAGAUAAGGCUGCAGUAGUUUCAUUUUAACUUCCUCCCUCACACCCUCACCCCUCCUACACACACACACACACACACACACACACACA
rnacentral:miRNA from 14 species